rnacentral:rRNA from 1 species
UACAGAGGGGGCAAGCGUUAUUCGGAAUUAUUGGGCGUAAAGGGCGCGUAGGCGGCCUUCUAAGUCGAACGUGAAAUCCCCGGGCUCAACCCGGGAACUGCGUCCGAUACUGGAAGGCUUGAAUCCGGGAGAGGGAUGCGGAAUUCCAGGUGUAGCGGUGAAAUGCGCAGAUAUCAGGAAGAACACCCGUGGCGAAGGCGGCUCUCUGGAACGCAACUGACGCUGAGACGCGAAAGCGUGGGGAGCAAACAGG